rnacentral:rRNA from 1 species
GAUGAACGCUGGCGGCGUGCCUAAUACAUGCAAGUCGAGGGCAGCGGCGGACGGGUGAGUAAUGUCUGGGAAACUGCCUGAUGGAGGGGGAUAACUACUGGAAACGGUAGCUAAUACCGCAUACUAUCAGAUGAGCCUAGGUCGGAUUAGCUAGUUGGUGGGGUAAAGGCCUACCAAGGCGACGAUCCGUAACUGGUCUGAGAGGAUGAUCAGUCACACUGGAACUGAGACACGGUCCAGACUCCUACGGGAGGCAGCAGUGGGGAAUAUUGGACAAUGGGCGAAAGCCUGAUCCAGCCAUGCCGCGUGUGUGAAGAAGGUCUUCGGAUUGUAAAGCACUUUAAGUUGGGAGGCGUUACCAACAGAAUAAGCACCGGCUAACUUCGUGCCAGCAGCCGCGGUAAUUC